rnacentral:tRNA from 1 species
AUCCGAGUAGCUUAAAUUUUUAAAGCUUUACAUUGAAGCUGUAAUUAUAAUAGAUAUAUUCUCUGAUA